rnacentral:lncRNA from 1 species
CAGCAAAGAAAGAGACCACCAGCUACUAGCUCAGAUUAUGACUACAUAAUCCCAGUGUAAAGGGCACGCCUGGUUCCUAAUAGUUCCAAUAAGUUCCCAUGGAAGACACUCAUUGAGCACAUCUGAGACGAUGUGAGGGGCUGCCGUGACCCUCUCUAUGACAGGACGGGCUCUAUGAAUGGUAACUAACAGGAUGAGAGAUGUGAGGAGUUGUGACGACCGAAAAAAGAUGCAGGCAGCAGUAACUGCUACUCCACAGCACCCCAUUCUUAGCCGGUGGAAGAAACCAUACGGAGUUUCCAACAUGUGGUCCAACAUGUGGCCAAAGAAAUGUUGAGGGAGCCUGGUUCCCAGGUUCCAGCCAGCUGCCUAAAGCGGGAGACACACUCAUCUAUGUCCCGAGUGACCCAAACCUUUAGAACCUUUUAACUCUUUUUCCAAAUGCCUCACUCACACACGAGUCCACAUUUUCCCUAAAUGGAGCCUGUUUGCAAAGGGCCACCUCGGAAACCUCGGGCUUUUCCCCGAGGCUCGUGCCCGCAGUCUACUCAGUAAGAGGAAAGAGAAAAGCAGUCAGAUGUGUGGAUGAGGUGACUGUGGCAGGAGCUGAAAUCUCAGAGAGACACAACUAGAAAACAGAGCACAAAGUGAUGGCCUCAGCACCCCGGUGUCCUGCAACAAAAAGAAGACACAGAGUUACCAACAGCCCUCAAAUGCAGUGCAGGCCCUCUUCAGGAUCUACAGAAGGACAUCUACUUGGGGAAGUGACUGAAAUCAGGCCAGUCUGACUACAGGUGGAGAAAAAAGUACGAAUAUCAAGACAUGGGAACCAAAGGCAGAAAAACAACAUGUUCCCUCAAUGUUCAGCAUCUUUGCUUAAUAAACUGGCACAUACGAAGAACGCUA